rnacentral:rRNA from 1 species
UUUGAUCCUGGCUCAGGAUGAACGCUGGCGGCGUGCCUAAUACAUGCAAGUCGAACGAGUUCUCGUUGAUGAUCGGUGCUUGCACCGAGGUUCAACAUGGAACGAGUGGCGGACGGGUGAGUAACACGUGGGUAACCUGCCCUUAAGUGGGGGAUAACAUUUGGAAACAGAUGCUAAUACCGCAUAGAUCCAAGAACCGCAUGGUUCUUGGCUGAAAGAUGGCGUAAGCUAUCGCUUUUGGAUGGACCCGCGGCGUAUUAGCUAGUUGGUGAGGUAAUGGCUCACCAAGGCGAUGAUACGUAGCCGAACUGAGAGGUUGAUCGGCCACAUUGGGACUGAGACACGGCCCAAACUCCUACGGGAGGCAGCAGUAGGGAAUCUUCCACAAUGGACGCAAGUCUGAUGGAGCAACGCCGCGUGAGUGAAGAAGGCUUUCGGGUCGUAAAACUCUGUUGUUGGAGAAGAAUGGUCGGCAGAGUAACUGUUGUCGGCGUGACGGUAUCCAACCAGAAAGCCACGGCUAACUACGUGCCAGCAGCCGCGGUAAUACGUAGGUGGCAAGCGUUAUCCGGAUUUAUUGGGCGUAAAGCGAGCGCAGGCGGUUUUUUAAGUCUGAUGUGAAAGCCCUCGGCUUAACCGAGGAAGCGCAUCGGAAACUGGGAAACUUGAGUGCAGAAGAGGACAGUGGAACUCCAUGUGUAGCGGUGAAAUGCGUAGAUAUAUGGAAGAACACCAGUGGCGAAGGCGGCUGUCUGGUCUGUAACUGACGCUGAGGCUCGAAAGCAUGGGUAGCGAACAGGAUUAGAUACCCUGGUAGUCCAUGCCGUAAACGAUGAAUGCUAGGUGUUGGAGGGUUUCCGCCCUUCAGUGCCGCAGCUAACGCAUUAAGCAUUCCGCCUGGGGAGUACGACCGCAAGGUUGAAACUCAAAGGAAUUGACGGGGGCCCGCACAAGCGGUGGAGCAUGUGGUUUAAUUCGAAGCAACGCGGAGAACCUUACCAGGUCUUGACAUCUUUUGAUCACCUGAGAGAUCAGGCUUCCCCUUCGGGGGCAAAAUGACAGGUGGUGCAUGGUUGUCGUCAGCUCGUGUCGUGAGAUGUUGGGUUAAGUCCCGCAACGAGCGCAACCCUUAUGACUAGUUGCCAGCAUUUAGUUGGGCACUCUAGUAAGACUGCCGGUGACAAACCGGAGGAAGGUGGGGAUGACGUCAAAUCAUCAUGCCCCUUAUGACCUGGGCUACACACGUGCUACAAUGGAUGGUACAACGAGUUGCGAGACCGCGAGGUCAAGCUAAUCUCUUAAAGCCAUUCUCAGUUCGGACUGUAGGCUGCAACUCGCCUACACGAAGUCGGAAUCGCUAGUAAUCGCGGAUCAGCACGCCGCGGUGAAUACGUUCCCGGGCCUUGUACACACCGCCCGUCACACCAUGAGAGUUUGUAACACCCGAAGCCGGUGGCGUAACCCUUUUAGGGGGCGAGCCGUCUAAGGUGGGACAAAUGAUUAGGGUG